rnacentral:rRNA from 1 species
CCUAACACAUGCAAGUCGAACGGUAACAGGAAGAAGCUUGCUUCUUUGCUGACGAGUGGCGGACGGGUGAGUAAUGUCUGGGAAACUGCCUGAUGGAGGGGGAUAACUACUGGAAACGGUAGCUAAUACCGCAUAACGUCGCAAGACCAAAGAGGGGGACCUUCGGGCCUCUUGCCAUCGGAUGUGCCCAGAUGGGAUUAGCUAGUAGGUGGGGUAACGGCUCACCUAGGCGACGAUCCCUAGCUGGUCUGAGAGGAUGACCAGCCACACUGGAACUGAGACACGGUCCAGACUCCUACGGGAGGCAGCAGUGGGGAAUAUUGCACAAUGGGCGCAAGCCUGAUGCAGCCAUGCCGCGUGUAUGAAGAAGGCCUUCGGGUUGUAAAGUACUUUCAGCGGGGAGGAAGGGAGUAAAGUUAAUACCUUUGCUCAUUGACGUUACCCGCAGAAGAAGCACCGGCUAACUCCGUGCCAGCAGCCGCGGUAAUACGGAGGGUGCAAGCGUUAAUCGGAAUUACUGGGCGUAAAGCGCACGCAGGCGGUUUGUUAAGUCAGAUGUGAAAUCCCCGGGCUCAACCUGGGAACUGCAUCUGAUACUGGCAAGCUUGAGUCUCGUAGAGGGGGGUAGAAUUCCAGGUGUAGCGGUGAAAUGCGUAGAGAUCUGGAGGAAUACCGGUGGCGAAGGCGGCCCCCUGGACGAAGACUGACGCUCAGUGCGAA